rnacentral:lncRNA from 10 species
AUUCUGGGAACUACUCCUGUGAGGCCGACAAUGGCUGGGGAUCCCAGCGCAGUGAGGUGGUGGCACUCACGGUCACAGAGCCCCCGACCAAAGUCCGUUUGAUUAAUGGUCCUCACCACUGCAAAGGAAGAGUGGAAGUGGAACAGGAAGGUCACUGAGGUACCGUGUGUGAUGACAGCUGGGACAUGAAGGAUGUGGCCGUGGUGUGCCAGGAGCUGGGCUGUUGAGCAGCCAAGCACACACCUGCUGGCAUGUUGUAUUCAAGAGUGGCAGAAGAGGCCCAACCUGUGUUCAUUCAGGUUGCCCUGUGCCAUAGGACAGAAGAGGCACUGGCUGAAUGUAAGGACACAGCAAGAAAAUGGUUGUCUAUGAACCAGAAAGCAGGCCCUCACCAGACACGGAAUCUGCUAGCACCUUGAUCUUGGCCUUCUCAGUCUCUGGAACGCCCUAGAAGAGUGCUAACAUACUCAGCACUCAAUAAAUAUUCGGAGGAUGAAAUGACACGCCGGCAGACAAGAACCCACGUCAGCUGCUCUUCCAGCAUCAGGCAGUCCUGCCAGAAGCACCAUACAGGUGGCUGUUGUUCCAGCUCUGAGUAAGGCAGCCAGGACCCCUCUGGCUGUGAAGAAGGGCUAAUUUGGUUCUUCCUGAUUGAGGCUAAGUCUUCCUUCAUAAGCCCAGUCUUUCAGAGCAAGCCCAGCCUGUUAGUAAGGAGUGCCCUCUGCUGACACAGACACAUUCCUGCUGUCUCGAUCCCUGGUGUAAAUGGAAAGAGACCAUCAAUGUUGCAGUGUGAGCUGUGAGAAUUCAGCCAGUCCCAGCCUGAGCCCUCUGGCUGGGAGGGCUUCACCUUCUAUUGCUGCAUCCAGAUUAAUUUUAAGGUCAAACCAGAUGGAGAUUUGUGGUCACUGAGUGAUGAGCACCCUUUAGCCCUGUGUCCAGUUGCCUGUCUACUCUCCAAGCUGAGAUUACCCCUCUGCCCUCUUCCUGUUCCUCCCCACUCUAAGAUCCAUGUUCAAAGUUCCCAUAUAAAUUGUGUCAUCUCAUU